rnacentral:rRNA from 1 species
UACAGAGGGGGCAAGCGUUGUUCGGAAUUACUGGGCGUAAAGGGCGCGUAGGCGGCCAUCUAAGUCAGCCGUGAAAUCCCCCGGCUUAACCUGGGAACGGCGUCUGAUACUGGACGGCUUGAGUAUGGGAGAGGGAUGUAGAAUUCCAGGUGUAGCGGUGAAAUGCGUAGAUAUCUGGAGGAAUACCGGUGGCGAAGGCGGCAUCCUGGACCAUUACUGACGCUGAGGCGCGAAAGCUAGGGGAGCAAACGGG